UAAAUUCUAUUUUUUUAUAACUUUUUUUAUGAUUUUUUCA
rnacentral:tRNA from 1 species